ACCCGAUAUCGCGGCAUGACAAUCGAAAAAAGCCAGCAUGGCUGGUUUGUUUACAUUUUUAGAAUUACAAGUUUGCUAAUAAAAUUUUUCUUUUCAGGUAUUUCGCGGCUUUCUGCCAACAGGAUUGGAGUUGCCGCAUCCACAGGAAGGCGUCCAGUGUCGAUGGAGGUGUACCAGCCAGCGGAGUCGGCGAAGUUAAGUAGCAGCAAGUUUCCAAUCCACAGGGGAGAAAGUAUCGUCAGAGUUUUUGCACGCUGUAACUUACAAGUCUUUUCCUCUCGUACUAGGAGUGUGUGUUGCAGCACGUGUCAGCCUCAUUCAAAGCCUCUGGAGAGUCCGGAUUAAUGUGGUUGGCAAUUUCAGAUACAGCCAGCUGUAGAUUAGCGACGCCAACUUCAGGAGAGUCCACCGUCGGUUGUUGGCCAAUUUGAAACCGAGUUUGCUGUGGAUACUGGAUGCACGCUGACCCCAAGGGAGCAGUGGCAGAAGGAGCUGGUCCAGCUGGAUAUGAUAAGGACUCGUGGGAGCAGGAGGCGCUAAUCCAGGAUGUAGUGGAGGCCAGUGUUUUAGCGACUUCAAAGCAGCCCAAACCAGUGGCCGCGGUGGAUCCAGUAAAAUCAGCUCGGGGCAAACCAGUUGUAGAGCAUUCAGCUGUACUGCCCAGUGAGUCCAGAGGUGCAGAAACUUGAGUGUCGUUGUAAACAGUGGAAGCAUCUCGUGUACAUGCAGAUUUGACCGCUUGUCUGCGUUGGAGUUAGAGGCUCAAGAACGCUUGGAGCAGCAGCUUGGUGAUGGAUAGUGGACGAAGGUGGAACAUUUCUGUUUGGUGCCGGUGAAACGGUCACAAGUAAGACCACUCAGCCUAUAUGAAUAGGUGUGUGGCUUAGUAUUUAUUUCAGCUCGUUAUAUACGUUAGCUAUAUAUAAAUAGUAUUUAGUGGCGUUAGCAGAGGCCUUUACAAUAGUAGGCUUUAAGAGUAUUUUAACAGUAGUAACAUAAAAAUAUCUUAAAAAUAAUACUGAGUAUGUUAACAGGUUUUUUU